rnacentral:rRNA from 1 species
AAAAACAUCGCCUCUUGAAUUUUAAAUAAGAGGUCCAGCCUGCCCAGUGACUCUGUUCAACGGCCGCGGUAUCCUAACCGUGCGAAGGUAGCGUAAUCACUUGUUCUUUAAAUAAGGACUAGUAUGAAUGGCAUCACGAAGGCUAUACUGUCUCCUUUUUUUGAUCAGUGAAACUAAUCUUCCCGUGAAGAAGCGGGAAUAAACAUAUAAGACGAGAAGACCCUAUGGAGCUUUAAACAACAUAGCACUUACCACGCAUACAAAAAUUUAUGAAUUACAAAACUCACCAGGUAAAAUGUCUAUAAGUUUUUGGUUGGGGUGACCACGGAGCACAACAUAACCUCCAUGUUGAAAGAACACCAUUCUUAACAAAGAACUACUUUUCUAAGUAUCAACAUUUUGACAUCCAUUGACCCAAUGAUUUUGAGCAACGAACCAAGUUACCCUAGGGAUAACAGCGCAAUCCACUUUAAGAGCCCCUAUCGACAAGUGGGUUUACGACCUCGAUGUUGGAUCAGGGUUUCCAAGUGGUGCA